rnacentral:misc_RNA from 1 species
GCAAACUUGGUCAUUUAGAGGAAGUAAAAGUCGUAACAAGGUUUCCGUAGGUGAACCUGCGGAAGGAUCAUUAUUGAAUUAAGAAUUUUGGGGUUACCUAAAAUUUCUUCCUUCUAAACCUUUGCUUAAAAUAUUACCUUUAUGUUGCUUCGGUGUGAAAUAUCACCGAUAGCCCCCUUUAAAAAUUCAUUUUAAAACUUGAUCUGAAUAUUCUAAAUUUUUAACCAAAAAUUGAAUUAAAACUUUCAACAACGGAUCUCUUGGCUCUGGCAUCGAUGAAGAACGCAGC